rnacentral:rRNA from 1 species
AACGAACGCUGGCGGCAUGCCUAACACAUGCAAGUCGAACGAGACCUUCGGGUCUAGUGGCGCACGGGUGCGUAACGCGUGGGAACCUGCCCUUAGGUUCGGAAUAACUCCCCGAAAGGGGUGCUAAUACCGGAUAAUGUCUUCGGACCAAAGAUUUAUCGCCUUUGGAUGGGCCCGCGUUGGAUUAGCUAGUUGGUAGGGUAAAAGCCUAGCAAGGCGACGAUCCAUAGCUGGUCUGAGAGGAUGAUCGGCCACACUGGGACUGAGACACGGCCCAGACUCCUACGGGAGGCAGCAGUGGGGAAUAUUGGACAAUGGGCGAAAGCCUGAUCCAGCAAUGCCGCGUGAGUGAUGAAGGCCUUAGGGUUGUAAAGCUCUUUUACCCGGGAUGAUAAUGACAGUACCGGGAGAAUAAGCUCCGGCUAACUCCGUG